CAGUCGCCGGGUAAUACAGAGGGUGCGAGCGUUAAUCGGAUUUACUGGGCGUAAAGCGUGCGUAGGCGGCUUUUUAAGUCGGAUGUGAAAUCCCUGAGCUUAACUUAGGAAUUGCAUUCGAUACUGGGAAGCUAGAGUAUGGGAGAGGAUGGUAGAAUUCCAGGUGUAGCGGUGAAAUGCGUAGAGAUCUGGAGGAAUACCGAUGGCGAAGGCAGCCAUCUGGCCUAAUACUGACGCUGAGGUACGAAAGCAUGGGGAGCAAACAGGAUUAGAUACCCCCGUAGUCCCUGUCUCUUAUACU
rnacentral:rRNA from 1 species